rnacentral:rRNA from 1 species
AUUGAACGCUGGCGGCAUGCUUUACACAUGCAAGUCGAACGGUAACAGGCCUUCGGGUGCUGACGAGUGGCGCACGGGUGCGUAAUACAUCGGAACGUACCCAGAGGUGGGGGAUAACGCAGCGAAAGCUGUGCUAAUACCGCAUGUGAUCUGAGGAUGAAAGCGGGGGACCGAGCAGCAAUGUUUGGCCUCGCGCCUUUGGAGCGGCCGAUGUCGGAUUAGCUAGUUGGUGGGGUAAAGGCCUACCAAGGCGACGAUCCGUAGCUGGUCUGAGAGGACGACCAGCCACACUGGGACUGAGACACGGCCCAGACUCCUACGGGAGGCAGCAGUGGGGAAUUUUGGACAAUGGGCGCAAACCUGAUCCAGCAAUGCCGCGUGCGGGAAGAAGGCCUUCGGGUUGUAAACCGCUUUUGGCAGGAACGAAACGGUGUCCGCUAAUACCGGGCGCUAAUGACGGUACCUGCAGAAUAAGCACCGGCUAACUACGUG